GCAAGCAGCAGCAGGAUGGCGCCGCAGCCCCAACUCCUCGUCUGCCUGGCGCUCUGGAUGUCAGGUGCCUGUGGGGAUAUUGUGAUGACCCAGUCUCCAGGCUCCCUGGCUGCCUCUGUGGGACAGAGGGUCACCAUCAACUGCAAGUCCAGCCAGAGUCUUUUAUCAAGCUCCAACCAGAAGAAUUACUUAGCCUGGCACCAGCAGAAACCAGGACAAGCUCCUAAACUGCUCAUCUCCUGGGCAUCCACCCGGGCACCUGGGAUUCCUGACCGAUUCAGUGGCAGUGGGUCUGGGGAAGAUUUCACUCUCACCAUCAGCAGCCUCCGGCCUGAAGACACGGCGGCUUACUAUUGUCAGCAGUAUUAUAGCGCUCCUCCCACAGUGUGUCACCCGCAGACACAAACCCCCUCCCCGGGCCUGUGGGUCAGUCAGUCUCUGCUACACCAGCUGCUUCCUUCCUGCUUCUCCCUCACUGAAUGA